rnacentral:lncRNA from 1 species
AAAAGAAAAAAUUCAAAAACCCCCCUUUGGUUUCGCACUUUUUUAUUUUAGUACCCUGUAGUUUAAAAUGUAUCAAAUUAGUACCAUGUGGUUUCGCACUUUCUCACUUUAGUAUUCUGUGGUUUAAAAUAUAUCAAGUUAAUACUCUGUGGUUUUAUUUUUGUACCAAGUUAGUAUCUUAUGAUUUUAUUUUUGUAUCAAGUUAGCACCCUGUGGUUUUUAAACUACAGGAGUACUAAAGUGAGAAAGUGCGAAACCACAGGGUACUAACUUGAUAAACUUUAAACCACAGGGUACUAAAGUGAGAAAGUGCAAAACCACAAGGGACUAAUUUGAUAUAUUUUAAAUCACAGAAUACUAAAGUAAGAAAAAGUGAAACCAUAAGAAAGUAUUUGAAGUUUUUUCAAAAAAAAAAAAAGAGCACAUUU